rnacentral:rRNA from 2 species
UCUCGUUUAGAUUGAAGGAGCUUGCUCCUGAUUGAUAAACAUUUGAGUGAGUGGCGGACGGGUGAGUAACACGUGGGUAACCUGCCCUAAAGUGGGGGAUAACAUUUGGAAACAGAUGCUAAUACCGCAUAAAACCUAACACCGCAUGGUGUAGGGUUGAAAGAUGGUUUCGGCUAUCACUUUAGGAUGGACCCGCGGUGCAUUAGUUAGUUGGUGAGGUAAAGGCUCACCAAGACCGUGAUGCAUAGCCGACCUGAGAGGGUAAUCGGCCACACUGGGACUGAGACACGGCCCAGACUCCUACGGGAGGCAGCAGUAGGGAAUCUUCCACAAUGGACGAAAGUCUGAUGGAGCAACGCCGCGUGAGUGAAGAAGGUUUUCGGAUCGUAAAACUCUGUUGUUGGAGAAGAAUGUAUCUGAUAGUAACUGAUCAGGUAGUGACGGUAUCCAACCAGAAAGCCACGGCUAACUACGUGCCAGCAGCCGCGGUAAUACGUAGGUGGCAAGCGUUGUCCGGAUUUAUUGGGCGUAAAGCGAGCGCAGGCGGUUUCUUAAGUCUGAUGUGAAAGCCUUCGGCUCAACCGAAGAAGUGCAUCGGAAACUGGGAAACUUGAGUGCAGAAGAGGACAGUGGAACUCCAUGUGUAGCGGUGAAAUGCGUAGAUAUAUGGAAGAACACCAGUGGCGAAGGCGGCUGUCUGGUCUGUAACUGACGCUGAGGCUCGAAAGCAUGGGUAGCAAACAGGAUUAGAUACCCUGGUAGUCCAUGCCGUAAACGAUGAGUGCUAGGUGUUGGAGGGUUUCCGCCCUUCAGUGCCGCAGCUAACGCAUUAAGCACUCCGCCUGGGGAGUACGACCGCAAGGUUGAAACUCAAAGGAAUUGACGGGGGCCCGCACAAGCGGUGGAGCAUGUGGUUUAAUUCGAAGCAACGCGAAGAACCUUACCAGGUCUUGACAUCCUUUGACCACUCUAGAGAUAGAGCUUUCCCUUCGGGGACAAAGUGACAGGUGGUGCAUGGUUGUCGUCAGCUCGUGUCGUGAGAUGUUGGGUUAAGUCCCGCAACGAGCGCAACCCUUAUUACUAGUUGCCAGCAUUUAGUUGGGCACUCUAGUGAGACUGCCGGUGACAAACCGGAGGAAGGUGGGGACGACGUCAAAUCAUCAUGCCCCUUAUGACCUGGGCUACACACGUGCUACAAUGGAUGGUACAACGAGUUGCGAGACCGCGAGGUUUAGCUAAUCUCUUAAAACCAUUCUCAGUUCGGAUUGUAGGCUGCAACUCGCCUACAUGAAGCCGGAAUCGCUAGUAAUCGCGGA